rnacentral:tRNA from 1 species
AGCUCCCGACGUGAUUUGAACACAUGACCUAUGGAUACUAACUCUAUCUGCAAUCCAUUGCUCUACCCCUGAGCUACAAGAGC